rnacentral:rRNA from 1 species
GAUGAACGCUGGCGGCGUGCCUAAUACAUGCAAGUCGAGCGAACAGACGAGGAGCUUGCUCCUCUGACGUUAGCGGCGGACGGGUGAGUAACACGUGGAUAACCUACCUAUAAGACUGGGAUAACUUCGGGAAACCGGAGCUAAUACCGGAUAAUAUAUUGAACCGCAUGGUUCAAUAGUGAAAGACGGUUUUGCUGUCACUUAUAGAUGGAUCCGCGCCGCAUUAGCUAUUUGGUAAGGUAACGGCUUACCAAGGCAACGAUGCGUAGCCGACCUGAGAGGGUGAUCGGCCACACUGGAACUGAGACACGGUCCAGACUCCUACGGGAGGCAGCAGUAGGGAAUCUUCCGCAAUGGGCGAAAGCUUGACGGAGCAACGCCGCGUGAGUGAUGAAGGUCUUCGGAUCGUAAAACUCUGUUAUUAGGGAAGAACAAAUGUGUAAGUAACUAUGCACGUCUUGACGGUACCUAAUCAGAAAGCCACGGCUAACUACGUG